AUGUUGAAUAUCAACAAUGGGUUUCAGUGCUGUAUUGUUGAGUUUUGUAUGAACUAAUCUUGCUUCACUAAAAAAGACCUACAGCUUGGACAAAAGUCUAUAGCCAGUGCAUUCCUAGCUCCCCUUACACAGAGACAGACACAGUCAGAGAGAAGACACGCUGGGUCUCGGCUCGGCUCUCCUCUGCGAGCAGGUGGAACGCUGGAUAUAUAUGGGUCUUGGGCCUGCAGGAAAAGGCAGGCAGGGGAAAGCUAAAAGGCAAGAUGGUGUGGAGCUGUAGAGGGACUGAGGCGGGUGAAUGCAGCCGCGCAGCGAGCACUCUGAGCGGGCACACGUAGCGAGUGGACGCUGAUGGAUCAUGAGAGCAGCCGCUUGAGGAAAGCGCGCCCGGGAAGAGCGCCUGCUCGCCGGGCGCUCAUGUGAGGAUCCGCCCGGGAGGCAAGCGGAACUUUGGAUGUGUCAGUCAAACUGAGUAACUCUUGGAAACGAGGACUGUGAGCGACACCACAGCGUUUAAGUUUCUUGCCUGUAAAUCUCUGCUCUGCUUGGGGAGAUAAAACGGCCCAAAUGAAAUGAAGACGCACGUCAAGUAUUUUUUCUACUCAAGCAUGGCGGUGAUAAUUGGAUUGUGUGGACACCUGUAUGAGUGCAGUAUAUCCAGGGGAUUAGAGAACGGGAUGGGUUUUGCAGGUUCUGACCAAACCUGUGGGCUGAAUUCUCCUGACAUCUGUCGUCUACCAGAGGACCAGAUCUGCACGAUGAGGACGUCAGUGUCGGCAAUCUUGCCACAUUAACUUUGACCUCUCAGUAAAUGCAUAUGCUGGGUACAUGCUGAAUAUAUAUUUCAUGUUGAAUAUAUAAAUCCAUGUUUAUAAUAAAAAUUCUACUAAGCUGAACCCUAACCAAAUACUCUACUAAUACUCUAAUGAGAGUUAGUUGACAUGCAGGUGCGACAUUACCUAUAGUCAACAGAAUGUCUAAAGUAGAUCAUCAAAAUAAAUUGUAACAAAAUAUUUUAAUGCAAGAAAACCAUCCUUACAGAUUUUUUUCGAGAUUGAUUAACUACUCAAUCAUUAAACUUCAAUAGAUCAAUUUAAGCUAAAUAAAAACUCUAGAAAACAAACUGUUAAGUUGAAGACAUUGAAGCUUUUAACUAUAUUUUGCAACAAAAAAGAUAGAGGGAAAUGACUCAGUGAAUCAUUGAAGUGAAACAACCAAAUUAACUGAUUCACUAAAAUUAACUGCACUUUUCAGGACUAUUUAAGAUGGUUUAGGAGAGUGUCUGAUUAGUUCAUUCAGCUGGAAAGCUUUGUGUGUGAAACAAAAAGAUGCUUUGUCAUGCUGCUUGUUGGAAAAAUGAGUUUGUCGCUUUUCUAGUAAUACUCAUUUGUAAAAAGAAUUGCUGUAGACUGCCGGUCAAUGCUAUGUUUAAUGAUAUGGAAAUAAAACAAACAAUAUAUUUACCAACUUUUUGUUAUGCCUGUUCAAAACUUUACCCUGUCACAAUAAUGUUUUUUUAAAUUAUCUUAAUUUUGGGCUUCUAUCAGCAAAAAUUGCUAUAUGCAAUUAGUCAAGGCAUUUCAUGUAAGUAAUUACAUUAAAAUAAUUUAUUACUUGACAGUUGUAAAUCAGAUAUUUAAAAAUGGGUAAACGGUAAAAGGGUCAAAGACAUAUAAGAGUGAGCAUGAUAAAGAAAAGGAAACAAUAUUUUAAAAAUCCAUUGUAUAUAUGUUGGUUUUACAUGGCUUUUUAAAAAACUUUUAUACAAUUUCAAAGAAACGCUUAAAUGUAAUGACUCUAACAACGUCAUGUGGUGUAACCAUUAAGUAAAAAGUGUUAUAUUUUCAUUACACCUUGAAUACAUGUGCACACAUUUAUUUUAUUUUUUAUUUUUUUUUACCCCAAAUAUCAUGAAUGCUAAAUGUCAUUCUGUUUUUUGGGGAAUCGUACCUCAUGACAUUUUACAACCUGAACUAACCGGUCUUCUGUUAUUAUAAGAGAUUUGUCAAUCUAGUUUCAAAGUUUUAUAUAUAUAUAUAUAUAUAUACAUAUAUAUAUAUAUUUUUUUUUGGUUGCAUCACAUGACUUACUUGUUGGAUAAAAGUUUUCAAAUAUUAAGAAGAAAACAUUUUUCUAAGAAAUACUAAUAAAAGUCAAUGCCAAACUACUUUUUUAGGUUUUCUUUUUAAGAAUUUUUUUAAGAAUUUUUUUUUCUCCCUUCAUUAUGAUAUGAGGAUAGUUGCAUAACCCUGACAUUUUUGACAUUUCUGAACUGAAAUUUCUGAAGAUUGUUUAAUUGAGAAAUUAUAACAUACUGAACAUAGUAAAUGUGCAUUCAAGUCAAUGAAUUAAAGUAUGAAUUACGUUUUUAAUUAUUUUUGCAUAAAUUAUUAGAUCUGAUCCAAAACGUAAGACUCUCUUCAAGUCAUUAAAACCCACAUUGAUUGACAUCUAUUCUAAAUAAUGGAGGGGAAGUGUAUAUGCCUAAACGUGUUAUAGCUCUGCCUUCUACUGCUAUGUAAAUGAGGCCAGUAUAUGAGUCAUAAUUAAUCUGUAUGGGGUCCCAUUGGAAUACAAUACAAUACAGUAAGGGAAGGUGUAACUGUAGAACUCUUAUGCAGUAUCAAUGUGGCAGCCCUGCGGUGCUGAAACUCUGUCACAUUACUGUCUCUCUCACUCUCGAACCUCCCAGGCCAGCGCUGUGCUCUCAGCAUUCAACAUUCUCUUUAUUUAAACACAAAGUGCUGUGACACGCUGCUCUCCAUCAGCUUCUACUGCUUCCUUUUACCACUACCUGCAUUUAUAUUUGGGCACAUUCUGCCGUUUGCGGUCACUUCUCAAGUACUAUUUGUGAAAAAGGAUAUUACCUCACGUAAUUGACUGGUUUUUGAGCAACCGCUGAGGGUCCGUUUGCGACAGAGUGGAGAAAGCCCUGACAAACCUGAGCUCCAUCCGUGUUAGGACCAGAUUGCACUCUACGUUUUCCCAGGUUAACACUGAAUGUUAUUAAAGCAAGUUGACCGUGGGGUCAGCCUGAGAGCGGCCCAUGAAAACAAACAAUUAAUUUGGCAUGGAGGUGUAAUGGGAUGAUCUCCCGGCAGGGCCGGAUCCAUUGUUCGACUGGAAUUAACCGUGGCAGGUCAUGUGUCACUGGGUGCUGACCUCGGUCCAUUCACUAGCCCACACUUGCAUUAGCCAUGGCCCGGCGAGGGGUCAAACACAGUUACAAGCCAGCCAAACACCCCUCCCAACACACGCACACAAAACACACACUGCCUUCCAGUUCCUGGCCACUUCUGACCGCUGCAGAUCUUGCCAAACAAAGGCAAGGCAUUACCAGGAAGGGAUAUGUGCCGGCAUCCAGGCCACUUCACUGCACUCAUCUCCCAACUCAAGCUUUUUGAUGACAUUUCUGCAAAAUAAAAUUACAUUGCGCUUUACAUGUUUUGCGGCAAGUGAAAUGUCCAGUGUAUGGUGCUAGAAGCACACUCGGUAUUAUCUGAAGCAGAUGAACAUGAAUCUGGCAAUGUUUAUUACGUUGGUUGUUGUAUGUAUCGUGGCAGUUCAGAAAUUAAGGGCCAGAUUUACUAGAAGCUUGCACCAGAGCAAACCCUUUUUUGGCGUAAAAAAAAAAAAAAAAAAAAAAAAAAACUACUGUCAGGAUUUACUAAAGAAACACAGUGAAAAAGUAGCGCUGACACAGUUAUUUUUGCAGCUGACCUUAUUGCAUAUGCAUUUGUAGGAGUUUCCGUUUCAGAUGCAAAAUUUAUGGGAGGAGAGUAUUUAAAUGAAUCAUGCAAGGUGAUUUACUAAGGUUUGCGCUACUCAAUUUACUAGUAUUUGCGCCAUUAAGCAUGUCUUAAACCAGACACUAAUUUGCGCUGUUCUUGGUAGAUUGCUUUGGUCAUUAUGGAAAUGAUCCGGCUGCGCCUGUGUUCUUUAAUUUGCACGUCGUCAGUAGAUCACACACAGAACUUUCCACUCCCUAUCGGCACUUUUUUGGCUCUCUACCAUGCUUGAAAAUAUCAUACCACCCACACUAAACUCUAUCCUAAACCUAACUGAUAGUGUUAACAAAAGCAAAAUGUGAGAUAAGAAUACAGCAACCGUGCCAUUUUAGCUUGUUUCUACAAGUCUUAGAGCUCUUUUAUCGUGACUUGAUUUGUCAUGGGACUCAUACCUGAGCGCUUCGCAUCAUCAUAAUUGCACUGCUGUACCAGGUGAGCUACUUAGCAAGUUUACUAUGACAGAAAGAGCUGGUUAUGUGAUGCAAAUGUAAAAAUGUAUUGGUUUACAAAUCAUGAACAAUAUUUUUUAAUCAAGAAUCUGCCCCUGAAAUUAUUAUUUGUGACAAAGAAUAAAAGUUGUUGUGUUUUACUGUCACUAGUGUUCAUUUCAUCUGGAAACUUCAGUGAAUAUUAUGUAUAGGUACGUUUUUGCAAAAAUGUAGGUAGAGGCACUUUUUUUUUUCUAAUGAGCCUAUGUUGUCAUAUCCUGUGCAAUGGAAGACAACAAUACGUCUGUGACACCUUUGAGUGAAUCAUCACUUCUGUAGAUGUAUUUACUCAAGUCAAAGUAACCUAGCGCUCAUGAGAAGAGCGUUUUAGCACAUUCACUCUGACAUAUCCACCAUGGGCCACCCAUCAGGACGGCUUUAUGUUGUCCGUAUGUUGCUGUUAUUUUGCUGUCUCCCUCAGGCACGGCUCAAAGUUGCUGACUUCAUUUAACGUCAGUCACCCGAGGCACGAAUCGCUUCGCAUGUGGGAGAUAGUCAGAAGUGGUUAGCGCGCUAGUACACCUGACAGAUGCGCAAUGCAACUGCGGCAUGUCGAAAAACAUCUGAUCUCAUAGCCUCGGGCCACAGAUACCACAGAAACGUGUUGUGUGGAUGACGGACAGUUAUGCAAAAUGAUAUUCGUGCUGGUAAUCCUACUUAGCAUACAUCUGUGAUGUGACUGCGAGUAUUUGUUAUAGAGCAUUUCACAGGUAUAUCAUCCAUAUUUAAACACAAGCAAACAACAGCUGCAAGUUGAUCUUACACAUUCUCUGUUGUGAUGGGCAGACUACAGGAGACAGGAAGUCUCUUUCUCCAUUAAUUGAUUGGGUGUUGAGUGGGUGGAAAAGGCCGUGCCGAAGCCCCAAAGCGCAGCGCCUGAAUUAAAACUUCAAUCCCCCAUGUAAGACUCAAUUUCAUCCGUGACCCGACAUUAUACAAAUGAGAAGGAAACUGAUAGGUGCCUCCUCCAUAGAUGGAGUCCCCAAGCUUUUGGCCUGCAAUGGGGGAAGGGGAUUGACCCUGCUGUUCAUCUCGUCUCUUUCAGUGUGAAACAGCAGAGAGAGUUUGAAGGAUCCCUUGAAACACUUUUUAAUUUUGUAAAGUGUCAACAAGAUAUCUGGAGAUAAAUUAUCUCUCCCACAGAAGGUUUGAUAUAAAUAACCUUCUAGGAACUUCACUUUCAAACUCAGGAGACUUCUUUCUUGAGAUUAGGCUAUUUUCACACCUUAUCCAUCCCUGAGUGUGAUUCAUAGCGUAUUAUUUGGUUCCUGAACCAUGGUACUUUCGUGUUAUCAAUGUAAAUAUUAGCAGCAACUGUUUACUACAUUACUAGGUAAUGAUUUGUUCAUGUUUUGUCUCUUUGGAUUAAUGAAGCACACAUACAGUCAAACCAAAAUUUAUUCAGACACCUUGAACAUUUCAUUCAUUAUUACAGUUUAUUCACUAUAGUGUAAAAAAAUGGUAAUAAAAUAUGACAAGAUCUUAGAGUUAAACUGUCAGAAAAAAAUAAUCUUAAUUAUGUCAGAUAACACUUAAGCAAAACAUGGUCAGGUCAAAGUGUCUGAAUAAUUUUUGCUUCCAUUUUUUUUUUUAAUCAAUUUUACUGGUAGUCCACUGUAUAAAUAAUUUUUGGGUAUAAUAUGUCACAGUUUACUUUAUUUUGCUAUCCUCACUUACAUAAAUGAACUAUAGUGUCCUGCACCCACUAGUAAAAAUAUAUAAAAAAUAUAAAAAAUGUCUGAAUAAUUUUUGGUUUGACUGUAGUAGCGCUUUCUUCUGUCAGAAGAAUGAGGUGCUUGCUAAGUGGAACUUCAACAUGACUAAUGAGAAAUGCAUUAUAAUAGGCAAAUUAUACAUUAAUAGUGGUUCAUUCUACAAGUUCGGAUUGUUUUCACUACACAUUAGAGUUUUCUAUAUAUAUAUAUAUAUAUAUAUAUAUAUAUAUAUAUAUAUAUAUAUAUAUGUGUGUGUGUUUCUUUCUUACAGGGUACUGGAGAACACACUUGGAGAUCAGGAGACAGGAGAAGGAGUCUGGCAGGAGUGGAGACGAGGAGAACAUGGAGGUGAGUAAUCUCAGGACAAACGAACACAUCAUUACACAGUAGUGGCUCCUAAAAACGGGUGACAGUGCCAUUUGAACGAAACGGAGGGGCCGCUAUGAACUGAUUCACGGGUCUUUUCAUUGGCGUCAUGACUGGGCAUAUUCUUAUAGACACCAUGGGGUAGGAUGAUGUGAACAGUGCAGACUUCAUAAGAGCCCACACAAGAUGACUGUCUGCGCUUGACUGAGGAAUUGUUCAUGCUAUGAAAACUCUCACAGCAGCAAACUGUAAAGACGGAGGCAUAUCACUGCCAGCGGACAUUUGAUUUGUUGUUUGGAAACAGUAAUGCUUUUGCCUUUGACAGUAAUGAAUGUCUCUUUUAGGUUUUGGUGCUGGACACGGACAGUUUUGAUUGUUUGUUUGUUUUUUGUCAUUAUAAAUGUAUAACCCAUUAAAUGAUAUUUCAAAUUAAAAAUGUGUGGUGAAACCUGUGUUGGUAGGUCAAGGUAUCAUUCUCUCAAUAUUAGCAUUGUGUUGUCCUCCCUGGAGACAGUUAAAUCGGUCGCUCAGAGAAUAGCAUGUCACAGGAAUCUUUGUAGUCGCUAGAUGAUAUCUGGACUGCAGAGAACUACUUGCCUUCUGGCGUGGCUAUACAAACUGUAUGAAUGGAGGAUGUCUGGACUCUGAUCCAGUAAUUUGAACUCCGAAUGGACAACAGCAACAAGUCAUCCAGAAACUCUGCUUGUGGCCCUGAAAACACUGGUGGAAUGUACUUGAUUGUCAUUUUCUUUAUGCAAAAUAUGAUGAUUAUUACUUAAAAUUUUAUAUCACAUUGUACCACAUCCUUUCUCUCUCCAGUAACACUGAGAAGUCAGAUUCAUUUUUCAUUUAUAUUUAUAGUUAUGCA